GAUGAACGCUGGCGGCGUGCCUAAUACAUGCAAGUCGAGCGAACAGACGAGGAGCUUGCUCCUCUGACGUUAGCGGCGGACGGGUGAGUAACACGUGGAUAACCUACCUAUAAGACUGGGAUAACUUCGGGAAACCGGAGCUAAUACCGGAUAAUAUAUUGAACCGCAUGGUUCAAUAGUGAAAGACGGUUUUGCUGUCACUUAUAGAUGGAUCCGCGCCGCAUUAGCUAGUUGGUAAGGUAACGGCUUACCAAGGCGACGAUGCGUAGCCGACCUGAGAGGGUGAUCGGCCACACUGGAACUGAGACACGGUCCAGACUCCUACGGGAGGCAGCAGUAGGGAAUCUUCCGCCAUGGGCGAAAGCCUGACGGAGCAACGCCGCGUGAGUGAUGAAGGUCUUCGGAUCGUAAAACUCUGUUAUUAGGGAAGAACAAAUGUGUAAGUAACUAUGCACGUCUUGACGGUACCUAAUCAGAAAGCCACGGCUAACUACGUG
rnacentral:rRNA from 1 species